UAGCUCAGUGGCAGAGCACUUGCCUGAUAUGCAUGAGGCCCUGAGUUGAAUCCUCAG
rnacentral:tRNA from 1 species